rnacentral:miRNA from 1 species
UUCAGCCGGUCUCUUAAACAGGAGU